rnacentral:tRNA from 3 species
GGGAUACUAGCUCAGUUGGUAGAGCACCUGACUUUUAAUCAGGUUGUCGGGGGUUCGAAUCCCCCGUGUCUCACUA